GAUGAACGCUGGCGGCGUGCCUAAUACAUGCAAGUCGAGCGAACAGAUGAGGAGCUUGCUCCUCUGACGUUAGCGGCGGACGGGUGAGUAACACGUGGAUAACCUACCUAUAAGACUGGGAUAACUUCGGGAAACCGGAGCUAAUACCGGAUAAUAUAUUGAACCGCAUGGUUCAAUAGUGAAAGACGGUUUUGCUGUCACUUAUAGAUGGAUCCGCGCCGCAUUAGCUAGUUGGUAAGGUAACGGCUUACCAAGGCAACGAUGCGUAGCCGACCUGAGAGGGUGAUCGGCCACACUGGAACUGAGACACGGUCCAGACUCCUACGGGAGGCAGCAGUAGGGAAUCUUCCGCAAUGGGCGAAAGCUUGACGGAGCAACGCCGCGUGAGUGAUGAAGGUCUUCGGAUCGUAAAACUCUGUUAUUAGGGAAGAACAAAUGUGUAAGUAACUAUGCACGUCUUGACGGUACCUAAUCAGAAAGCCACGGCUAACUACGUGC
rnacentral:rRNA from 1 species